GCAUAUCAAUAAGCGGAGGAAAAGAAACCAACUGGGAUUACCUUAGUAACGGCGAGUGAAGCGGUAAAAGCUCAAAUUUGAAAUCUGGUACUUUCAGUGCCCGAGUUGUAAUUUGUAGAAUUUGUCUUUGAUUAGGUCCUUGUCUAUGUUCCUUGGAACAGGACGUCAUAGAGGGUGAGAAUCCCGUUUGGCGAGGAUACCUUUUCUCUGUAAGACUUUUUCGAAGAGUCGAGUUGUUUGGGAAUGCAGCUCAAAGUGGGUGGUAAAUUCCAUCUAAAGCUAAAUAUUGGCGAGAGACCGAUAGCGAACAAGUACAGUGAUGGAAAGAUGAAAAGAACUUUGAAAAGAGAGUGAAAAAGUACGUGAAAUUGUUGAAAGGGAAGGGCAUUUGAUCAGACAUGGUGUUUUUUGCAUGCACUCGCCUCUCGUGGGCUUGGGCCUCUCAAAAAUUUCACUGGGCCAACAUCAAUUCUGGCAGCAGGAUAAAUCAUUAAGAAUGUAGCUACUUCGGUAGUGUUAUAGCUUUUUGGAAUACUGUUAGCCGGGAUUGAGGACUGCGCUUCGG
rnacentral:rRNA from 1 species